rnacentral:rRNA from 1 species
GAUGAACGCUGGCGGCGUGCCUAAUACAUGCAAGUCGAGCGAACAGACGAGGAGCUUGCUCCUCUGACGUUAGCGGCGGACGGGUGAGUAACACGUGGAUAGCCUACCUAUAAGACUGGGAUAACUUCGGGAAACCGGAGCUAAUACCGGAUAAUAUAUUGAACCGCAUGGUUCAAUAGUGAAAGACGGUUUUGCUGUCACUUAUAGAUGGAUCCGCGCCGCAUUAGCUAGUUGGUAAGUUAACGGCUUACCAAGGCAACGAUGCGUAGCCGACCUGAGAGGGUGAUCGGCCACACUGGAACGGAGCCACGGUCCAGACCCCUACGGGAGGCAGCAGUGGGGAAUCUUCCGCAAUGGGCGAAAGCCUGACGGAGCAACGCCGCGUGAGUGAUGAAGGUCUUCGGAUCGUAAAACUCUGUUAUUAGGGAAGAACAAAUGUGUAAGUAACUAUGCACGUCUUGACGGUACCUAAUCAGAAAGCCACGGCUAACUACGUG